rnacentral:misc_RNA from 1 species
CCAGAUCCUAAAAAGCGCUUGACUGCUCAGCAAGUGCUUGAACAUUCCUGGCUACAAAAUGCAAACAAAGCUCCAAAUGUCCCAUUGGGGGACAUUGUGAGAACAAGGCUCAAGCAAUUUUCAUUGAUGAAUAGAUUUAAGAAGAAAGCAUUGCGAGUAAUUGCUGAACACCUAUCCCUUGAAGAGGUUGAAGUAAUCAGAGACAUGUUUACAUUGAUGGACACUGACAAUGAUGGUAAAGUAACUUUUGAGGAACUAAGGGCUGGUCUUCGGAAGGUUGGUUCUCAACUGGCUGAACCAGAGAUAAAGAUGCUGAUGGAAGUGGCUGAUGUUGACGGAAAUGGUGUACUGGACUAUGGAGAGUUUGUAGCUGUAACAAUUCAUUUGCAGAAAAU